rnacentral:tRNA from 1 species
AUUUGUAUAGUAUAUCUAUUACAUUUGAUUUCCAAUCAAAAAAUCUAUUAUUAGUAUAAAUA